CGCCUGCCCAGUGCUGGAAGGUUAAAAGGAGGACUUAGCUUCGGCGAAGGUCUUAAUUGAAGCCCCAGUGAACGGCGGCCGUAACUAUAACGGUCCUAAGGUAGCGAAAUUCCUUGUCGGGUAAGUUCCGACCCGCAUGAAAGGCGUAAUGAUUUGGGCGCUGUCUCAACAAUAGACUCGGUGAAAUUUAAAUUCCAGUGAAGAUGCUGGGUACCCGCGACAGGACGGAAAGACCCCGUGGAGCUUUACUGUAGCUUGAUAUUGAAUGUUUGUGCUGCAUGUGCAGGAUAGGUAGGAGACUUUGAAGUCGGAACGCUAGUUUCGAUUGAGUCACCCUUGAGAUACUACCUCUGUUGUAUGAACGUUCUAACUCUGAUCAGUUAUCCUGAUCGAAGACAGUGUCUGGCAGGCAGUUUGACUGGGGCGGUCGCCUCCUAAAAGAUAACGGAGGCGCUCAAAGGUUUGCUCAGAAUGGUUGGAAAUCAUUCGUAGCGUGUAAAGGCAUAAGCAAGCUUGACUGUGAGACUGACAAGUCGAGCAGGUACGAAAGUAGGACUUAGUGAUCCGGUGGUUCCGUAUGGAAGGGCCAUCGCUCAACGGACAAAAGCUACCCCGGGGAUAACAGGCUCAUCUCCCCCAAGAGUCCACAUCGACGGGGAGGUUUGGCACCUCGAUGUCGGCUCAUCGCAUCCUGGGGCUGUAGUCGGUCCCAAGGGUUGGGCUGUUCGCCCAUUAAAGCGGUACGCGAGCUGGGUUCAGAACGUCGUGAGACAGUUCGGUCCCUAUCCGUCGUGGGCGCAGGAAAUUUGAGAGGAUCUGUCCUUAGUACGAGAGGACCGGGAUGGACAUACCUCUGGUGUACCAGUUGUUCUGCCAAGAGCACCGCUGGGUAGCUACGUAUGGAUUAGAUAAUCGCUGAAAGCAUCUAAGUGAGAAACUAACCUCGAGAUGAGAUUUCCCAUUCGUCAGAAGUAAGACCCCUGAGAGACGAUCAGGUAGAUAGGCUAGAAGUGGAAGUGUAGUGAUGCAUGGAGCGGACUAGUAC
rnacentral:rRNA from 1 species